rnacentral:rRNA from 1 species
GGGGAAUAUUGGACAAUGGGCGAAAGCCUGAUCCAGCCAUGCCGCGUGUGUGAAGAAGGCCUUUUGGUUGUAAAGCACUUUAAGUGGGGAGGAAAAGCUUGUGGUUAAUACCCAUAAGCCCUGACGUUACCCACAGAAUAAGCACCGGCUAACUCUGUGCCAGCAGCCGCGGUAAUACAGAGGGUGCAAGCGUUAAUCGGAAUUACUGGGCGUAAAGCGCGCGUAGGUGGUUAUUUAAGUCAGAUGUGAAAGCCCCGGGCUUAACCUGGGAACUGCAUCUGAUACUGGAUAACUAGAGUAGGUGAGAGGGGAGUAGAAUUCCAGGUGUAGCGGUGAAAUGCGUAGAGAUCUGGAGGAAUACCGAUGGCGAAGGCAGCUCCCUGGCAUCAUACUGACACUGAGGUGCGAAAGCGUGGGUAGCAAACAGGAUUAGAUACCCUGGUAGUCCACGCCGUAAACGAUGUCUACCAGUCGUUGGGUCUUUUAAAGACUUAGUGGCGCAGUUAACGCAAUAAGUAGACCGCCUGGGGAGUACGGCCGCAAGGUUA